GCCCUCUUGCGCGCGCGCUCCUCCCCGGGGCCUCUGGGCGGCCGUUUCCCUGCAGGCUGAGGGGCGUAGCCGGAGGGACGAGGCCCCCACUGCGGUGGGGUUCCGGGCCGAGGGGCGUUGGCUGAGGAUACACUGGGGGCGGUCAAGAGACGGCCUGAGGAAAAGGAAAUUACUCUAGGAUUUGAAUCAUCACAAGAGUAUAACCAGAGGAGUGGCAGCAGACCAAGUACUUCGUAGCACCUGGGAAAUCAUUAACAUUCUGAAAAUACCACCAUGAGUGAAGCUGAGCUACAGUUCUGCCCAGGGUUUCUACUCCAAAGUCAUUCUUGAAGAUCUGAUUUGCAGUCAUAGAAAAGAGAAAAUUGACUUCAAACUGGAUGUAAUCUAUAAUAUAUGUCCUUAAGUUCAUCAUGUAUAUGAAAUCAGGGUCAUUCCAUGUAUCUUCUUUGUGUGAAGUUUUUUACCUGGGAGGUAAAUGCUGGCCAGAGUGCAUCCUAUACAAAACAGGCUGUCAGUAAUCUCAUGGCCAAGAUGACCAGAUUGUCUGUAUGAUAUGGUAUGUAUGAUAAGAUAUUGUCUGUAUGAUAUUGUCUGAUAUGUUAGAUACCUUCCCUGGUCACCUUUUUGCUAACUUAGCGAACCUAACUACAAAGUGGCCCCGGCUACAGGAAUGGAGACUGUGCAUGGACUCAGUAGCAUGUGUAUCAUCAUACUAAGGCUGGGCUGUAGUCAGCACUGAGUGCCCAGCCUGUCACGGCAAGGCCCAACUCUAAGCCUGCAGUGUGCCACUAUUUCCCAAGGAGACCAGCCCAGCUGUCUGAUACUAGCUGAUUGGUUAUAUUAGACUCCAUCAUAAAUGUGGCAGCACCUUUUCCUAGGGAAGAUAGAACGUUCUGAUACAGAUUUGUUUCCCUUCUCUACAAAUCUGCCAGCUUGGUUAACUUGCAGAGUAUCUUAUCCACUGACUUGCUAUCACACACAUUGUCUCACCCAGGGUAUGCAUUUUAUCUUGAAGGUAGUGUGGAAAUUGGCUUAUUUCUAUAAAGUUCUCUGGUCUUGCUGUGUGUUGCACUGUCCUAAAACAGUUGGCCUGGUAGAAACUGGAAUGGUGCACAAGCCUCAAUUUUAGUACUAGUUCAUAGAUAUUUUCCCUGAAAUAUUGAGGUAUUGUCCUGUAGUGUUCUACCCGUGCUUUGAAUCAGUGAUUAAUAUGAGAUGCUGUUUCUUCCAAAGCUAAAACACAUAGUUCAUCAGGCAAGGUGGAUGUGGGGAUGAUCCUGCUCAUGAUUUUAUCUGAUAACUCAUUUAUGAAAUUUUGCUUGCCAUUGUUAUGACCAUGGUUUCUGUGAGUUUGGAGUUUCUAGUUCCCAAUGGAGGAAUCCUUUAGAGGAUAAAGUCAUGGCUCUAUGAAACUAAUAACAGGUUAUUUGAUGUUACUCAUGCUGCUGAACUAGGAGAUAGCAAUGGUGUUACUGUACUGACUGGGGUGACUGACCCCCAUCACCAAAGAGCCAUUAGGUCGCUGUUACACAGUGAUGGCAAGGAGGGCUGCACAUAGAACCGAAGGGACUCUUUGGGGUAUCCUUUAGUAUUCCCAUUUUCAGUAAUAAUGAUCAAUGGGAAAUUGAGCCAACUCAAAAAGGUGGGCUCACUACAGGAUACAGAGUCUUCAGGAAUGGAGGUUUAAGUCACACGAUCAGAUAAGAAAAUUUCCCGGGCCGGUGCCGUGGCUCACUUGGCUAAUCUUCUGCCUGUGGUACCAGCACCCUGGGUUCUAGUCAUGGUUGGGGUGCCAGAUUCUGUCCCGGUUGCUCCUCUUUUGGUCCAGCUCUCUGCUGUGGCCCAGGAAGGCAGUGGAGGAUGGCCCAAGUGCUUGGGCCCUGCACUCGCAUGGGAGACCAGGAGGAAGCACCUGGUCCCUGGCUUCGGAUCGGCGCAGCGCGCUGGCUGUGGCAGCCAUUUUGGGGGGUGAACCAACAGAAGGAAGACCUUUCUCUCUGUCUCUCUCUCUCACUGUCUAACUCGGCCUGUCAAAAAAAAAAAAAAAAAAAAAAGAAUAGUGCCCAUAGGAAGUAUGAGCAGAGGAUAAGAAAACCAUGAAACUGAUUAUUAAUUACUUCUUUUUACUCUCAUCCGUCUGAACAGCAACAGAAGUGGGACUGUAGCAGUGAUCUGUUAUGUUAGUUAUUUUCUUGCCUUUCCCUGUUACCUUCUAUGAAGAAAACUGGAGAUGGCUAAUAUUACAGUUUAGGUUCUAAAUGGGAUUAUGACUGAAUUCCAAAUAACUUGAGGCUAUUCAGUAGCUGAUGGGAAUUUGUGUUCCUUCUGUUUUGGGAACAUGGCUUUGUCCUUAAGUGAAGGUUAAGGAAUGGCAAAAGGGGGGAUUGUGUUUAUUAUUCUCCCUGUCCAUCACCACCCCUGCUGUGCCUGGCUGUAAGCUCUGAAAGCAGGCUGAUCACCCAAAUGCCUUCAUCUGUGGCCUCCAAUGGGUUCUGCUAAUGGCAGGCACCAGAAUAAGGUAGAAGACAGGAAGAUAAAGAGGUUGGGUUAUCUUCCUCCUCUCCCUCUAGUUUUGUUGAAAUGUUGACAGUGACCAGGCCUUCUAAACCUAUAACUUAUAUUGGUGGCUUUUCUUUCCUGGUCUCCAGUAUUAUCAUCUUUCCUUUGGGCCUAAGGGAGUUAUAGCUUCCUAUUGUUGUAAGUCUCUGAGUAUCUCCGUAUCCCUUGUUGGAUCUCUAAAUCUUGCUCAAAUCUCUGCAAACAAUCCUAUGAUUAAAGUUACUAUACCUCACUUGAGUUGCUUCUUCUAUACCCUGACAGAUUUGGUAUGUUAGAAGGUUAGAUAGCACUGAAAAAGGCCUGAGCAGAUGACAUUCAGCAAGACACAAGGUGACCUAAUCAAAAAGUACAAUAUUUUCCAUAUAGCUUC